UUUCCCCUUUAUCGCCGAAACCUUUUCUCCCGAUUCUUCCCUCUUCCUCGCGCCGACCCUCCCUUCUUCUCCAUCGCGACACCGCACCAUCCCCCGAUCAUCCUCCUCGCAUCUUCGCCGACCACCGUGGCCUGACGCCGGACGUUAACCACUGCACACUGCCUCACCUCCCGAUUCCCCCUUUCUCUUCCCCAAUCUCCGUUGACUCUCCUCUUCGACUCCACUGCCUGACGCCACGCCGCCCGACGGACGCCAUGCCACCACCGGUGACCUUGCCAUCCUGGAAGAGGCUACGAUUGGUUGUUGUUACCGAUCUUCUCUCUUCGAGUCAUGGACAGAAGUCGAUUCUCCCUCUCCUCUCCGAUUGUCGAAGCUGGACGCCAUCUUCCCAUUCUUGGAUGUGGACACCAAGCAUUCGACCCUAACGUGGUGGCCGCGUCGGCUCAGAUCCACCGUCUUCGUACCCUAGCUCCCGAUCUGUUCACGAUGUCGCUCAAGCAGUUGUCGCUGUGAGAUGUUGUUGAAGAAGACGACGCGACAUUGUCUCCACAUCCUCACCGCCGUGCACACAAUUCGCUCCACACUUGCUACUGACCGAUCGUGCCAACGCCUCUCUUCUCCUCACUUUAAGAGCAGUGUCCUAGCUUGGAUCUACCUCUCCCGAUUAUAUCCCCCUCUUUGCCGUGCUAUUCUCGUUGCGCCAUCUACCGUUAACUCUUUCUUCACCCGUCUCAUCGGUUGUUUUCUGUUGAGUCUCCGGCAGGGAGGAAGCUGCCAGCACUGAGUUAGGUAGCUCUGGCCCUGAUCCCGGCAGCUUCGGCCACUAAUUUGACGAUGAGUUUCUCCAGCUAUGAAGCAUCGGCUAAGGUACCAACUCAGGACUUUUAUUUGAGAUGAGCAUCUCGACGUGGGAUUGCUUAUCAUGUUCGACAGAUAAAGCGGGAGACAUUAUAUAUUUGGUUUGAUGACCCUGCAUCUGUUGGUGAGGUCCACACUCUUAUGUCAGGAUAGGAUGCCCUGGUGAGUAUAGCUUCUCCCCUCAUUCAGUUUUGCAUUACCUUUUAUUGUUCAGGAGAUUGUACUAUAUGAUUAUUAUUGGUAGUUAUAUUUUACUAUACAUGUAUGUUCGAUACCCGCUGAAUUUGUUAUACUCACUACCCCUAUUUCUUUUCUUGUGAUUUUCAUGUUAGCACAUAGAUAUGUCAUGUCGCUUGGAGUAUCCUGUCUGUCGGUUUCACGUCACAUCCGAGGACUGUUUUCGGUGUUAGCUCUCCUUUACUUGUCUUACGUUUUUGUUGGACUCGGUGUUGUAUAAAUUCGACUUUGUUCUUUUGAGUUUGCUAUGUUGAGUUGCAUUUGUUUUGUUGUGGUUGUGCAAGCCUAGCCGGCUAGUCUUUGUUUUUAGUUUGUGUGGACUUUUCUUUCGUUUUUCUGCUGUGUUUUUUUUAGUAUAGCCGUGUAAGUUGUUUGAUAUAUAUAAAUGCGUGGUUGUAUAUAUAUUCCAGCCAUGUAGGCUGAUGUAUUCUUGUGGAUGUAUAUAUAUGAUUCAGAUUGUCGCCGGUAUAAGGGAGAUAUUGUCGGAUUUUCCUCUGAUAGGGACUCCUCUGGGGCGUGACAAAAAUAAAAAGUUACCAUAGAAAGUUAUGUAUUAUUUUUCAUUAAUUGCUAGACUACAACACUUAUGCAUUUGUCGCAACAGCAAACCACACGAGGUGGCAUUAUGAGCAUAUAUAUGAAAGAUAUAUAAUAUGUCAUCCCUUUAACCCACCUAUAUGGAAGUAUCAUGAUAUAAUAUAUUUUUUUUAACAAUGAAAUCCCGUAAUGUAUGGUGUUCUCGGUUGGAAUCAGUUAAUCGACCAAAUCAGUUCAAUCGGAAUCGAUACAAUAGAUAAAAAUAUCGAUUGAUUAACUAAUUUUUAUACAAAAUACGAUAAAUCAAAAUUAAUCAAAAUCGAUAAAUUGAUAAAUCGAUUAACUGGCUGGUUCAACGUGCUAAUAUAAAAAAAUUAAAGAAAUGUGCGGUUGGUAAAUUAUUUUGAGUUAUUUUAUUUUUAAAAGUGUUUUUUUUUUGCUUAAUUUCAAGCAAAUGAAUUUUAAUAAAAUUAAUUAUCCUUUUAAAAUAAUAAAUAGCUCAUUUUAAAAUAAAAUAAAAUAAAAUAAUUCAUAAAAAUGAGCGGACUCAAUGCCGUUCACUUCGACGAAUCAGGCGGGAGAAGCCGGCGGCUUCGCCUCCUCUUCCUCCUGAAUCUUCCGCCGAGCCUCCUGGCGUCGGCCUCCUCCUCUCCUCUCAAAUCCUCACCCUCUACCCUUCCCGGCACAGUUAGGCCUAUAAAGGUCGCUCCUUUAGCCGCCGCUCCGGAGGAUUCGGAUGCGCGGCUAGGGUUAGGGUUUCUUUCAUUUUCCCCGAUGGGGGCCGAGGUUUCUAGGGAGAGCAUGGGCGGGCGAAUCUUCUGGCUGGCGAGGAUCUGCUGCACCUUCCGCGGAUACUUGUUGGGGAAGGCGGUGGGGGAACAGAAUUCUCGAGGAAUGAAGCUUUUCAAGAUGGAGAUCUUCGCUCUGCUUUGUCGUCCCCAUGCUUUCAAUGGAUCGAACCUGGUUUCACACGGACGAUGAGAGCUACAUGGGGAAUUUGAAUUUCAGCUAUCAUGUUUAUAGCCCAGAGCAAACAUCAGAUGAACCCGGAAGCUGGAACCAUUACCGCGUAGGCGGAUUAUGCAAGUAGAAGCUCCAAUACACCGAUCAAUAUCAAGUUCUUAAUGCUACAACUAUAAAGUGCGUCAGCUUUGCGGCAAGGGAUUAAUCUCCGGAGGAAACCAAUGUUUGCCUAUCGAGUAAGAUUUUGGGAUGGCGAAGGUGAACUUUGGAGCAUAAUUCUUGAGCACCCACUCAAACUCUCGAGUCUCUUCGUGACUAGGGAUUCGCUACAUGAAGCUUUUAAUGAAUCGGCUUUUGGUGGGUCAAGAUUACUGGCUCAAAGAGAUUAACAAAAGAUUAGAAGGGGGUAAGGUCCGACGCUCAAGUUAGUCAUAGAGAAAUACGAGGUGGAAAGAAAGUAAUGAGAUGAAAACAUAGUGAAGUUGAAUCUCUUGCGCAUACCCUUUCCUAGUUGAUACUGCUACCUUAUAUAGAGAAGAAAGAGCCAACACCCGUGGUGUGGAAGCACUUUUACCAACUGUCGUGCCUCCUUCCCUUUUUGGUGCUAUAAUUACUAGCGACGACACAAAUACUUACCUGUGUAAGCAGUGUGCUUCUCUCUCUAAAAAAAUAGAUCCGUUAUUUUA